AUCAAACUGAAAUUCUCAGCAAAACGUUUACUGGUCAGCAGGUGAAGUGAGUUCAUGUCAUUCGAAGUCUUUUAAUUUUUUUCUCAUAUUACCACUGAAGCCCUGCAACGUGUUGCGGUAUUGUGUAAUAUUUUCUUACAUCCAUUUAAAGAAAUAAUAUAACCACUUGAGCAAGAAUUUGUUAUAUUUAUAAUUAAUGUCAUUGGUAAGCUCCACUGGGGAGCCCCCGCGGCUACCAGAGCUCCGUUACCAGAGGUUCCAAUCUCCGGUACUGAUGCAGACAAACAGCGCCGCGAAAGACGACUGUGAAAGGGGAUUUCUUGUUGAAAGAUCGCCGCUCAUUGGUAACGAUGAAAACAAACAAAAGUGACUGUGAAAGCGGCCCUUAAUCUUGAAUCAACUUGUAGCCUCUAUAAGAUAAGGGUGUUUUCAAAUAUAUUAUUUUCUUUCAUAUUUGUGAUUGUGAGCUUAAGUUAAAAUAUAAACAUACGCUCUCCUCCAUCAAAGGUUAUUAAGUCAUUCAUUUGAUUCUUAAAGUCUGUAUAUAUUUGCAUCCUCUCCUCUCAGCUCCUUCGGCUCCUCCUCCUUCACAGUCACGGUACAAGUCUUUGGCACAGCGUCAUCACAAAAUCCUACGUACACCUCCGCCCCCCGUGUCUGGCGAUACACGAGGGACACAACGCCUAGUCACUGAGAGUCUCGAGUUUCUAAAAACUAGCAAACUCUUCUAAAAAUAGACAAUACUGAUAAAAUACUCCUUUGGUAAGGAUGUGGAUGGCUAUAGUCUGUUAAACUCUUCUAAAGAAUAUAAAUUACUAGCAAAUUACAACUCUGGUCUAUAUUAUAGUCUAUUACUCUCGUCUAAAAAUAUACAUUAUUGAUAAAAUAUUCCUCUGGUAAGGUUGUGGAAGAUUCUAAAGUUAUCAAAUUCUUCUAAAAUAUAAAUUACUAAUAAAUAUUCAUCUGGUAAGGUUGGGGAUGAUCUACAGCCUAAUACAGACUCCUUAAAAUAUAUAAUAAAUAGUUUUACAACUCUGUAAGGAUACUUAGUGAGAUAUUGGAGGGCUCGAAGUCUGUUUAACUCUCCUAAAAGUACAUUACUCCUAACAAACUACUCCUCAGGCAAUAGUCCAGCGGGUCUAAGGCAUAGUAAGGUCUUCUGAAAAUGCCCAAUAGAUCAAUACAAUAUUCUAGGCUUGCACAGUGGGUCCAGGAGGGUCAGAAUAGCCUAAUCACUUCUAUAAAAUAUGUAAUAAUUUUAUCUCCGCAAGUCAAUGGUUAGUGAGAUCAUGUACUUUAUGAAGCACAUCAGAGUUUUUCAAAAUACGAGUUCUAAUUUGUCAGGGUACAUUAGAGGGGUUCUGAAGGUUUUAACAGCCAACAAACUUUAAAAAUAAACACCAUAUAGAUAACCCUAAAAUGCUAGGCUAGGAUAAAGAGGCUCUAGGAGGGGCUUUCAAAAUUUACACUAACUGGUUUUAGUGUUUCAGGGUAUAUUGAUGAGGUAUUGAGGGUUUGUACACACUACUGAUUCAUCAAAAUACAUAGCUUUAGCUAUGCUAAAGAGAUUCUAGGGAGGUUCAUAAAUUAAACUCUUAAAAGUAUUGAUCAACUAAUUAUAAAUAUGCUAGGCUAUAACAGUGAGGUUCUGGAGGUUCUAAGGCUGAUUAACUCUUCUAAUCAUAUAUAUCAGGUAAUUCUAAGUCUGCAAGGCAGUAUUUGUGGUCUCUUGGAUGUUCUAAAGUCUUGGGAACUUAGAAAACUAUAUGAGCCCAUUCGGGACUGGCGAAGCUGUUGACGUUUUCCAUUUGAAGAGCUUUAUAGAACCAGACUUCAUCAGUGUCGGUUUGUUUAAAGUCUGAUGGAUUCUCUAGAAAUAUAUAAAUUCCUUAGAACUAUAUAAAUCUUUAGAAAUAUAUAAAUUCCUCUGAAAUAUAGCUACCUCAGAACUCUAUGAAUCUUUAGAAAUAUAUAAGUUCUUAGAAACAUAAAUUCCUUAGAACUAUAUAUUUUUUUGGAAAUAUAUGAAUUCUUAGAAGUAUAUAAAUUCCGUUAGAAAUAUAAAGAUUCCUUAGAAAUAUACAAAUUCUUAGAAACAUAUGAAAGUCGUGGAAAUAUAUCAAUUAUUCAAAAACACAUAAAUUCCUUUGAACUAUAUGAAUCCUUAGAAAUAUGUAGAUUCUUAGAAAUAUAUAAAUUCCUCAGAAGUACAGACUCCUAGAAAAAUAUACUAAUUGAAAUAUAUAUGUAGACAAUCCAAAAAUAUAUGUAGAUUCUAAGAAAAUAUAUAAACUCUUUAGAGAUAUCAAUAAGCUCCUUCCAAGUUUGCUAAGCCAUAGAUGUUCUCCAGUUUCAAAAGCCACGUAAACUGAAUAUCAUGAAGACCUGUAAGUUACAAAGCGCCAUUCACACACGUUCACGUUCGGUCAAUAAAUAAAACACGUACACGUACGUCUCUCAGGUUCGCGCGCGUAUUGAAAUAAUUCCUUUCCUUAAUGAUACAAAUGACUAGAAUAAAGGAAUCAACUUAAGGGGGUGGAGGGCAGGAAUAUUUAAAGGAAGGCAUGUGAUCAAGAAAAAAUCCUAAAACACCAGAAUUAGGAAUCCAGAGAUUUGGAAUGUUUGAAAUAUCACUCAAAACGUAUACAAUAAUUCCAAAAGGACGGACGAC